GCGGUAGUAGCUCAGUUGGCAGAGCGGCGGCUUCCCAAGCCGCAGGUCACGAGUUCGACCCUCGCCUACCGCUCUA
rnacentral:tRNA from 3 species